GCAGUGAUGUUUCAGUGGUAGAAUUCUGACCUUCCAUGUGGGAGAGCUGGGUUCUAUUCCCGGUCAAGGCA
rnacentral:tRNA from 1 species